ACACUACUCUGCAAUGGAUAUUCGGCUCUCGCAUCCAUGAAGAGCGCAGCGAAAUGCGAUACGUGGUGAGAAUUGCAGAAUCACGCGAACCAUCGAGUCUUUGAACGCAAGUUGCGCCCGAAGCCAACCGGCCAAGGCACGUCCGCCUGGGCGUCAAGC
rnacentral:rRNA from 1 species